rnacentral:pre_miRNA from 1 species
UGGAAGACUAUUGAUUUAGUUGAAUUGGUUAAUUUACUUUCAACUGAUUCUAGUCAUCCUUA